CGUGUAGGCGGCUUUGCAAGUUGGGUGUGAAAGCCCUCGGCUUAACCGAGGAAGGGCGCCCAAAACUGCAGAGCUUGAGUACCGGAGAGGAUGGUGGAAUUCCCCAAGUAGAGGUGAAAUUCGUAGAUAUGGGGAGGAACACCGGUGGCGAAGGCGACCAUCUGGACGGAUACUGACGCUGAGACGCGAAAGCGUGGGUAGCAAACAG
rnacentral:rRNA from 1 species